UUAACUAAUAAACUGUACUAAUUGGCCAAGUCAAAAAUUCUAGAAAAAAAUUAAUAGAUAGAUAUAUGAGUCUAGUUUCAGGAAAAAUUUACGGAUCUUAAUUUUGAGUUUUGAAACUCGAGAAAUGAAUUUUUAAGCAACCAUGAUGCAGAAAAAUAGUUUAUUCCAAAAAUUAAAAUAAGUGGUUUAGAGUUGUUUAAAAGGUAAGAUAAGUUUAGUAACACCUCAAGCUUGACUCCGGUGACGGUUUCGGGCGUGGGGGUGUUACAU
rnacentral:lncRNA from 1 species